CGCAUCUGUGCAUGCAGCAUAUCAAUAAGCGGAGGAAAAGAAACUAACAAGGAUCCCCCUAGUAACGGCGAGUGAAGCGGGAAGAGCUCAAAUUUGAAAUCUUAAAGGGUUUCCCCUUACGAAUUGUAGUUUAAAGAAGUGUUUUCUGUUGAGGUUUUGGUAAAAGUUCUUUGGAAUAGGACAUCAUAGAGGGUGAGAAUCCCGUAUUUGACCUUUACUUUCAACUUUGUGAUACAGCUUUCAAAGAGUCGGAUUGUUUGGGAAUGCAUGUCCAAAAUGGGUGGUAAAUUUCAUCUAAAGCUAAAUAUUGGCGAGAGACCGAUAGCGAACAAGUACCGUGAGGGAAAGAUGAAAAGAACUUUGAAAAGAGAGUUAAACAGUACGUGAAAUUGUCAAAAGGGAAGCGUUUGACACCAGUGUUGUUUUUCUGAAAAUCAAUUAAAGAACUGUUUAUGCUAAGUUGUUUAGACUUUAUCAGCUAUCUGUUUAGUUUUGAGCUUUUCUUUAAUGCACUUUUCAGUUAACAAGUCAACAUCAAUUUCUUUUGCUGUAAAAAAGCUUGAGGAAGGCGGCUUGAGAUUCGUCUUAAGUGUUUAUAGCCUCUUGCCUAUGCAGUCGGAGAGAUUGAGGUCUGCAGCGUAGAUCCUUCGGGGCUAAAUGCAUUUGUGCUAAGUUAUAGCAUUUUAUAGACAACUUGUUGACUAUGAUUUGUCUUGUAGCUUACUCGCUUAUGUUAUUUUACCUACGCUUAGGAUGUUGAAGAUGUAGCACAUCAU
rnacentral:rRNA from 1 species